rnacentral:rRNA from 1 species
UACGGGGGGGGCGAGCGUUGUUCGGAAUUACUGGGCGUAAAGGGCUCGUAGGCGGCCAACUAAGUCGGACGUGAAAUCCCCAGGCUCAACCUGGGAACUGCGUCCGAUACUGGAUGGCUUGAAUCCGGGAGAGGGAUGCAGAAUUCCAGGUGUAGCGGUGAAAUGCGUAGAUAUCUGGAGGAAUACCGGUGGCGAAGGCGGCAUCCUGGACCGAUAUUGACACUGAUGAGCGAAAGCUAGGGGAGCAAACGGG